ACGGGGGGUGCAAGCGUUGUUCGGAAUUAUUGGGCGUAAAGCGCGUGUAGGCGGUUUGUUAAGUCUGAUGUGAAAGCCCUGGGCUCAACUCAGGAAGUGCAUUGGAUACUGGCAGACUUGAAUACGGGAGAGGGUAGUGGAAUUCCUUGUGUAGGAGUGAAAUCCGUAGAUAUCAGGAGGAACACCGGUGGCGAAGGCGGCUACCUGGACCGAUAUUGACGCUGAGACGCUAAAGCGUGGGUAGCAAACAG
rnacentral:rRNA from 1 species